UGGCUAGUGUGGGGGCACUGGGAGGAGGCACGGCUUCUGCACUGCACCCAACAGUCUCAUUUCCCCUUCAGCUCUCCUCUCUCCACUCCGGACAAAGAAACCCAUGGAAAGCAGAGAAAUGGCAGAAGGUGACUGAAGACAAAAGAAAAAAAAAGCGAAUUCACAGCAAGCAGCAUCCAGGCUGGCCUGGAAACAAAAGCAGCCUGGAGAGACAUCAGGGGCUCAGUGCACAAGAGGAACCUGCAGGCACGGACGUGACACUGAGGCACCUGAUGAUGAGCGGGUGGGCACGUGUUUGGGGAACAGCAGCGACGUUGAGACGUGAGGACAAAGGCUUUUCUGUCCUUUGCCACCCGCG